CACAGAUUAAGUAGUGUUCACAUAUGUGAACAAAGGUCUGAAAUCUGAAAGGUAAGUCUGUGAAAGAUCAUAUAAACUGUCACUAGAACAUAUGCUCCUUAAUCUCUUUUGUGUUUCCUUUUCAUCAUUAACAUGGCUCUAGUGAGAAGGCAGUGAAAUGGUACAAAGGAGCCAACUGUGCAAAACAUCCCCUUUUCAUCAAGUUAACAGAUGUUGCUUGUAGAAAUGGGAAAGGGGGAUGAUGUCAACCAAAAGGCAUAGGGAAGCCAGUUGAGCUCCACAUCUUGCCGCCUUUCUGAUGUAACACUUACAGUACAGUGCAGCUUUUAAUAUUUUGAUUGCUGGACAAGUGUCAUGCUAUAAUAUAGCACCUCCUGCCAGGAGAUCUACCUUUUAUGUGUUCUGUAGCACAGACUAUGAAUAUGUAUUAGCGCAGUCUGUUCUGUGGCAGGGAAUAGAAAGAAGUUCCAACAGAGUUUACUUGAGCUGUAAACCUGAAGAGUGUUGUAUAGGAAACAUAGUGAGUGUGUGUAUCUGUCUUCCAAACGGGCUGUUAAAGGUGACCUUGAAAAUAAAUUGGAACAGCCCUAAUGGUAUGUUUUAGAUAUCUGUAUAGAAAAGGACAACAGUUUCCUACACCUUUUUAAUCUAUUUUUUUUUUUAAAUCCAUUCUAAUCGGUGAAGAAACUGUUCAUAGGCAAAAGUCCCAUAUAAAUAAAACAUAAAAAUCCAUUAAAAUACUGGCCUCUAGAAGCUUCUUAUUAAAAUUUUCUCCUGCUACUACAGAUAGUAGUGAAAUAUUCAAAGGAAUCUGGCUCCACAAGAAGUAAAACAUACUUUUCACAUGGGGAACUUAAAACAUUUUAGGAAUAAGCUUCUGAUGAGUUGCCUCUCUGAAUUUCUGAAUUCUCUAAUUUUGAUAUGGUCCACUUAUCCUGCUGCCCAGAGAGGUUUCCAUAAGGAACAAAUUAAGUUUUAGAUGCACAAGAACUGACUGCAUUUUUUUACUGCUUUACCAAAUCGAGAGAUUAAUAUAGUUUAAAUUUAAAUAUUUAAAUUUAAAUAAUAUAAAUAUUGCCAUAGCUACUUUAAUUGUACCCCUAUGCUACAUAAUUAAAAUAGCAUUUGUGAACUGAUUUAAAAUUUUCACUGCACUUGAACUGUAUAAUAAAGAAAUCCAACAUGGAAGUAUCUCUGCUGAAGCUAAGACUGCUGAAAACCUUUACCUUGCUUUGACUUAUUUUUCUUCCCACAGUGGUCUCUAAAUGCCAUAAAGCUUUGUGAUCAGCAAUAACUAUGAGCAAUAUGCCAAGUGACCCCAGCACCCCAGCAAACUGCUAGAGCAGGAGUUCAGCAUGGCAGCGUACUGUCUUCAGGAGCCCUGAAGCGAUAAUUCCACCUUCGAGCUGUAGAGAAUCUGCUCUGCAGACGAAUCAGCAAAGGAGGCUUCUACUAAUGCCUAUGUCAUGGUGGGGGUUCAAGUCUGACCUUAUUCCAGUAAUGUAUCAAGGUGGGCUAAGUUUGCGACUGUGGAGGAUCCUGCAUAGCGAAAGCAGAUGGGUUACCUUGUCACUAUUGUUCUAUGGCCCUGUGCUAAGGGGUAUGGAAGGUUACAGCCCUGGGACUCCACAGAGGUAGCAUGAGCCACAUGUGAGCAAGGAUUUUCGUCUGCAGAACUUG